rnacentral:rRNA from 1 species
GACGAACGCUGGCGGCGUGCUUAACACAUGCAAGUCGAACGGAAAGGCCCUGCUUUUGUGGGGUGCUCGUGUGGCGAACGGGUGAGUAACACGUGAGUAACAUGCCCUUGACUUUGGGGUAACUUCAGGAAACUGGGGCUAAUACCGGAUAUGAUAUCCUGCUGCAUGGUGGGGGUUGGAAAGUUUCGGCGGUUUGGGCUGGACUCGCGGCUUAUCAGCUUGUUGGUGGGGUAGUGGCUUACCAAGGCUUUGACGGGUAGCCGGCCUGAGAGGGUGACCGGGCACAUUGGGACUGAGGUACGGCCCAGACUCCUACCGGAGGCAGCAGGGGGGAAUAUUGCACAAUGGGCGGAAGCCUGAUGCAGCAACGCCGCGUGCGGGAUGACGGCCUUCGGGGUGUAAACCGCUUUCGCCUGUGACGAAGCGUGAGUGACGGUAAUGAGUAAAGAAGCACCGGCUAACUACGUG